UAAUGCUCCCAGUGCUGCAAUGGUCAGCAGAGCUCAAAGUGUUGCAGCCUUUAAUGCUCCCAGUGCUGCAAAGGUCAGCAGAGCUCAAAGUGUUGCAGCCUUUAAUGCUCCCAGUAAGUA